GACGAACGCUGGCGGCGUGCUUAACACAUGCAAGUCGAACGGAAAGGCCCCUUUGGGGGUACUCGAGUGGCGAACGGGUGAGUAACACGUGAGUAACCUGCCCUUGACUUCGGGAUAACUUCAUGAAACUGGGGCUAAUACCUGAUAGGAAUCCUUGCUGCAUGGUGGGGGUUGGAAAGCUUCGGCGGUUUUGGAUGGACUCGCGGCUUAUCAGCUUGUUGGUGGGGUAGUGGCUUACCAAGGCUUUGACGGGUAGCCGGCCUGAGAGGGCGACCGGCCACAUUGGGACUGAGAUACGGCCCAGACUCCUACGGGAGGCAGCAGUGGGGAAUAUUGCACAAUGGGCGGAAGCCUGAUGCAGCAACGCCGCGUGCGGGAUGACGGCCUUCGGGUUGUAAACCGCUUUCAGCAGGGGCGAAGCUUGUGGUGACGGUACCUGCAGAAGAAGCACCGGCUAACUACGUG
rnacentral:rRNA from 1 species